rfam:Planococcus sp. PAMC 21323, complete genome.
UCAUUGCUGCAACCGCUCGAAUCAGGUUACGUUAAGAAGAUGCUUCGGCAGAUCACCUGAAUAGGCGAGUCUUAAUCUAGAG